rnacentral:misc_RNA from 1 species
GGGAGUUAAAAGCAACUGCUGGUGAUCAAUCGACUGCAAGUGGUGUUGAAGCAGUUAAUCUUGAUCAAGAAGAUACAGUCAUUGAUGAAAACAAUGCUGGUCAAAGAUGGGUUCAAGGGCUUAUGGAAGGGGAGUACUCUGAUCUCACUGUUGAAGAGCGCCUUCAUGCGCUUGUUGCCUUAAUUGGUAUUGCAAAUGAGGGGAAUUCCGUUCGCCUUAUAUUAGAGGAGCGACUGGAAGCUGCAUCUGCAUUGAAGAAGCAGAUUUGGGCAGAGGCACAGCUCGAUAAACGUCGUUUCAAGGAGGAGUUCUUACUGAAGGUACAAUAUCCAUCAGUUAGAAGCAACACUGAACAAAUUUGCUCAGUUACUUCCAUGGAGGCAAGGCAAAGUCCAUUGCAUGCUGUUGGUCACAAUGAAGUGGCAGACAUACCUUCACUUCAGCAAGAAGCCAUGCAUAAAUUGCCAGAUGAACCCAAUAAUCCUAGUAAUGUUGCUGUAGAAAAGACUUGCCAAAUGCAAGAGACAUAUGGAGGUCAGGAUAAUUCACAGCCCCAGCAUUUUGCUUAUGUUGCCGAAAAGUCGCGUUCCCAGCUGAAAGCUUAUAUUGGCCAUAGGGCGGAAGAGACAUUCGUUUAUCGGUCUCUGCCCCUUGGUCAAGAUCGCAGACGUAAUCGGUACUGGCAGUUUAUCACAUCACCCUCUCGAAAUGAUCCAGGCUCUGGCAGGAUUUUUGUGGAGUUACGUGAUGGUAGAUGGAGGCUAAUUGAUUCUGAAAAGGAUUUCAAUUGUUUAAUGGCUUCUUUGGAUAUUCGUGGAAUUAGAGAAUCUCAUUUGCAUUCAAUGCUUCAAAAUAUUGAAGCAACUUUCAAGGCAACUGUUAGGAAGCAUAAGUACACUGAAGUGGAACUUGAUGACUCCGUGAAAGAGCAUACUUCUGAAACAGUACCUAGCAUUGAUUAUUGUUCAAACACUGGUGGCUCUAAGAGCACAAUCUGUUUAUCAAACCAGGAAACUUCAGAACCUUCAACUUCCUUUCUUCUUGGGUUUGGAAGGAACAAAAUGGAGGACUCUGAUGCCUUGAGG